rnacentral:rRNA from 1 species
CCUACGGGAGGCAGCAGUGAGGAAUAUUGGUCAAUGGCCGGAAGGCUGAACCAGCCAUGCCGCGUGAAGGUCAGUGCCCUAUGGGCGUUAAACUUCUUUUGUGCGGGAGCAAUAAUGGUCACGUGUGGCCAGACGAGAGUACCGUACGAAUAAGCAUCGGCUAACUCCGUGCCAGCAGCCGCGGUAAUACGGGGGAUGCAAGCGUUAUCCGGAUUUAUUGGGUUUAAAGGGUGCGUAGGCUGUGAGGUAAGUCAGCGGUGAAAUGCCCCCGCUCAACGGGGUGAAGUGCCAUUGAUACUGCCUGGCUGGAAUGCGGAUGCCGUGGGAGGAAUGUGUGGUGUAGCGGUGAAAUGCAUAGAUAUCACACAGAACACCGAUUGCGAAGGCAUCUCACGAUUCCGCGAUUGACGCUGAUGCACGAAAGCGUGGGUAUCAAACAGGAUUAGAUACCCGAGUAGUC